rnacentral:rRNA from 1 species
GAUGAACGCUAGCUAUAGGCUUAACACAUGCAAGUCGAGGGGAAACGGCAUUAUGUGCUUGCACAUUUUGGACGUCGACCGGCGCACGGGUGAGUAUCGCGUAUCCAUCCUGCCCUUUACUUGGGGAUACCCCGUUGAAAGACGGCCUAAUACCCGAUGUAAUUCAUUGAUGGCAUCAGAUAUGAAUAAAAGAUUUAUCGGUAAAGGAUGGGGAUGCGUCUGAUUAGCUUGUUGGUGAGGUAACGGCUCACCAAGGCGACGAUCAGUAGGGGUUCUGAGAGGAAGGUCCCCCACAUUGGAACUGAGACACGGUCCAAACUCCUACGGGAGGCAGCAGUGAGGAAUAUUGGUCAAUGGGCGCAAGCCUGAACCAGCCAAGUAGCGUGCAGGAAGACGGCCCUAUGGGUUGUAAACUGCUUUUAUACGAGAAUAAUUUGAUGCACGUGUGCGUUAUUGCAUGUAUCGUAUGAAUAAGGACCGGCUAAUUCCGUG